UAUGUUGUGCUGUAGUAUUAAUACUACAUAAAGUAACGCAUUAAAAACAAAACCGGAUAACACGGAAGUUGUGUUUAGAUUCUAUUUCAAUUUCACAAGCCAAGAAGUUACCUCAAAAAUAUGGCUUUUGUAUGGAACAAACAAUGUGAAGUUAUUGCGUUUGUAUGGAACAAACAAUGUGAAGUUACUCUGGCUCUUUGAACUAUUGAACUCUUUGUAAAGUCGACUUGGACUCAAGUGAAAUCUAGGUCCUGAUGAUUGAUGUCUUCGUUUCAUCCGUCAGAAUGUAUGUCAGAUGAAUUUAAAUUUUGCGGUGACUUGGAAAAAAUUUGGAUUGGCCAACAUAAUGAAAAACAAAAGUUGCUCCAUAAUAAUAAACAUGGACUCAAGUCAUAUAAUAACAAUUCUCGUUGGUUUAUUGGAGCGUAUAACAGAGUAAACUUUGCAACAAUGUGCUAUAAUUACUGUGUGACGUUGAAUGGUGGCUAUAAUUUGACGAAAGCCAGUAGACUUUUAUGUUUUGGAGGUGAUUUCUCUAGGAUUGGCGCGACAUUUUCUUGUCUCUUACUAUUUUUGUUGUUUAUGAUGCCAUUCGUUGCAGUUUUGCCAGUUUUCUUGCCAUUAAGCUCGUCGAAAAAACGAUAUUUGCUCCUGUCAACUGCAGGGGUAGAAUUUCUAUUGCUUCUUUGGCAUUUAUAUUGCCUUUGUGUGAUUAAGUUUAGAAUCUUGAAAAAAUGGACAAAUGCUUGGUUUACAUUUUCUGUCAACGCAGAUAGAUGGCAGGAUCACAGAAUGAGCUCGAACUACCACACAUUCUUUAUAGAAGGGAAACUACGAUGUAUGGACGUUUCUGUUUCGGAUCUUUAUCGACUGAAUUCUGGCUUAGAUGAAGUGACUCCAACAGAACGAGAAGAACUUGCAAGUGUUGUCGAACAGCACAGGCUUAAUCAAGCUGUUGUUUUAAUGUAUUCAAAAAAAUUUAUCAGAGAAUUUAUUUCGUGUUCCAUGCUACAGAUUUUUGCACUUGCAUUACUUUCAAUUACUUCACUCUCUGUUCUUCUAUGGAGGACUUUAGUAGAGUUUGCCGUGUAAACAUAAUUACAAGGCAAUUUUUGCUCGAUAGAUUAGGUCUAUCACAUCUGUAGAUACUGUUGGUAAAAGAUCUAUAUACACAUACAGCUAUAGUGAUGGUGAAAGAAACUACACAUACAGACAUGGUGAUGGCGAAAAUACUAAACUACUAUUUUGUUAUAAUUAUUGUGUGGCAAAUGCAAAUAACUUAUGUAUGUAUAAUAAAUUUAAGCAAAAUGUU